UUAAGGAGUGGCUUUAGUUCAGAUCCAUUAAAGAAGCUCAUGCAUAUGUUCUGCCAGUAAAGCAGAAAGUUUCCCAGCGUCAACGCAAACAGAACAGUCCUGAGGAGCUUCAUUAACUCCAACAUAUGGAGGCUGGAAAAAUUUCCACUUGGCUCAAUUUGUAGAAGUCUGUGAUGGAUGGAAUGAAUUUUUACUAUAAAGUGCAAGUGUGUAAAUGCUGAUCCAAUCUUGUGUGAAAUCAGUGUGCCAAACAUCAGAUGCGAACACAAUUCUCCUGCACUGUCGUUCAAAACAAAAAUGGACAUUUUUCUGUGCAGUUAUAUUGAGGUACUUUUUUUUUUCGCUCAUUUCUUUGUUUUUGUCAUUCUAUGAUCAUUCAUUCAAUUGUUUGUUCCAUCAUCAUUAAUUGGUUCUGUCUGUUGUUUUAUGUAUUGUUCAUACUAUCGUUUGUUCUAACUUUUCUAUCAUUUGCUCUAUAUAUUGUUCUGUCUGUCUGUAUUAAAAAUUAAUUAACACCUUAAUUAAAUAAA
ensembl:lncRNA